rnacentral:tRNA from 1 species
AGCCCACGGGGUAGAUUACACCAAAAUGCAAAUUUGGAGACGCACCCAGAAAGGUGCCGGGGCUU